AUUGAACGCUGGCGGCAGGCUUAACACAUGCAAGUCGAGCGGGGUGAUGGUGCUUGCACUAUCACUUAGCGGCGGACGGGUGAGUAAUGCUUAGGAAUCUGCCUAUUAGUGGGGGACAACAUAUCGAAAGGGAUGCUAAUACCGCAUACGUCCUACGGGAGAACGAAGGGGCUCACUUGUGACCUUGCGCUCAAAGAUGAGCCUAAGUCGGAUUAGCUAGUUGGUGGGGUAAAGGCCUACCAAGGCGACGAGCUGUAGCGGGUCUGAGAGGAUUAUCCGCCACACUGGGACUGAGACACGGCCCAGACUCCUACGGGAGGCAGCAGUGGGGAAUAUUGGGCAAUGGGGGGAACCCUAAUCCAGCCAUGCCGCGUGUGUGAAGAAGGCCUUAUGGUUGUAAAGCACUUUAAGCGAGGAGGAUGCUCUUUUGGUUAAUACCCAAGAUGAGUGGACGUUACUCGCAGAAUAAGCACCGGCUAACUCUGUGCCAGCCGCCGCCGUAA
rnacentral:rRNA from 1 species